rnacentral:ncRNA from 1 species
GAAACCCUCGUUUUGUGUUGCUGAGACAUGCGCCUAAGGAGAAAUUGCCACCGAGUGACGUGCCAGCGCUACUACUUGAUUGAGUGUCAGCACGUAGCUGUGCUUUCAGCAAGAAUUUCACCAUUGGGAGCCGGUGCCUUUCGAAGCACUUUCACGUGUGAACCGAAGUCGUCUUGCCCAAGACCCACGGAGACCUACCUAUAGUGACGUCAAAGUACAAGUGUGCAUGGAGGUUUGGUUGAAAUUGGUUACGACGACGCCGAGUUGGCGGCGGAGGAAGACUCGGCAUGAAGGCCAGAAAAUGGUGUGGAACGUAGUGGUAAUAGUAUGCGCCCCGCUCCGAAACAAAGAAAAAGGUGCGUGCCGCACUCACGAUGGACUGCCACUGAGAUACUGGAGGAAGGUGGGGAUGACGUCAAGUCCGCAUGGCCCUUAUGGGCUGGGCCACACACGUGCUACGAUGGCAAUGACAAUGGGAAGCAAGGCUGUAAGGUGGAGCGAAUCCGGAAAGAUUGCCUCAGUUCGGAUUGUUCUUUGCAACUAGGGAACAUGAAGUUGAAAUCGCUAGUAAUCGUGGAUCAGCAUGCCGCGGUGAAUAUGUACCCGGGCCCUGUACACACCGCCCGUCACACCCCGGGAAUUGGUUUCGCCCGAAGCAUUGGACCAAUGAUCACCCAUGACUUCUGUGUACCACUAGUGCCACAAAGGCCUUUGGUGGUCUUAUUGGCGCAUACCACGGUGGGGUCUUCGACUGGGGUGAAGUCGUAACAAGGUAGCCGUAGGGGAACAUGUGGCUGGAUUGAAUCCUUC